rnacentral:rRNA from 1 species
UACGAAGGGGGCUAGCGUUGUUCGGAAUCACUGGGCGUAAAGCGCACGCAGGCGGAUUGAUAAGUCAGGGGUGAAAUCCCGGAGCUCAACUUCGGAAUUGCCUUUGAUACUGUCUGUCUUGAGUCCGGGAGAGGUGAGUGGAAUUCCUAGUGUAGAGGUGAAAUUCGUAGAUAUUAGGAAGAACACCGGUGGCGAAGGCGGCCCCUGGACCGGUCACGUGACGCUGAGGCGCGAAAGCGUGGGUAGCAAACGGG